UUUGUACUCCCUCUGUCCCAAAAUUCUUGUCUUAAAUUUGUCUAAAUACGGAUGUAUCUAGUUACAUUUUAGUGUUAGAUACAUCCGUAUCUAAACAAAUGUAAGACAAAAAAUUUGGGACGGAGGGAAUACUAC
rnacentral:pre_miRNA from 1 species